UACGGAGGGUGCAAACGUUGCUCGGAAUCAUUGGGCGUAAAGCGCACGUAGGCGGUGCAGUAAGUCGGAUGUAAAAGCCCUCGGCUCAACCGAGGAAGUGCAUUCGAAACUGCUGUGAUUGAGUACGGAAGAGGGUCUCGGAAUUCCCGGUGUAGAGGUGAAAUUCGUAGAUAUCGGGAUGAACACCAGUGGCGAAGGCGGAGACCUGGGCCGAUACUGACGCUGAGGUGCGAAAGCGUGGGGAGCAAACAGG
rnacentral:rRNA from 1 species